rfam:Anaerosporobacter mobilis DSM 15930 genome assembly, contig: EJ17DRAFT_scaffold00015.15
UCUAUCGUGUGGUGGAAUCUGAUGGAAGUUGGAGGCAAACUCUGCUCAGAAGGACAGAAAUCACAUAUAAUGCAGUUCAUAGUAGAAUAAGGCACACAUAACAAACUGUAGCCCCAAACUACUAAAAUCGGCCUUAAUACGGAGCAGUAGAGUGAUUAGAGCUGAGAUAAAAAAUCAUU